rnacentral:rRNA from 1 species
UACGGAGGAUGCGAGCGUUAUCCGGAUUUAUUGGGUUUAAAGGGUGCGUAGGCGGACUGUCAAGUCAGCGGUAAAAUUGAGAGGCUCAACCUCUUCCCGCCGUUGAAACUGGUGGCCUUGAGUGGAUGAGAAGUACGCGGAAUGCGUGGUGUAGCGGUGAAAUGCAUAGAUAUCACGCAGAACUCCGAUUGCGAAGGCAGCGUACCGGCAUCCAACUGACGCUGACGCACGAAAGCGUGGGGAUCAAACAGG